AUUGAACGCUGGCGGCAUGCCUUACACAUGCAAGUCGAACGGCAGCACGGGAGCAAUCCUGGUGGCGAGUGGCGAACGGGUGAGUAAUGUAUCGGAACGUGCCCAGUCGUGGGGGAUAACGCAGCGAAAGCUGUGCUAAUACCGCAUACGAUCUAUGGAUGAAAGCGGGGGAUCGCAAGACCUCGCGCGAUUGGAGCGGCCGAUAUCAGAUUAGCUAGUUGGUGGGGUAAAAACUUACCAAGGCGACGAUCUGUAGCUGGUCUGCGAGGACGACCAGCCACACUGGAACUGAGACACGGUCCAGACUCCUACGGGAGGCAGCAGUGGGGAUUUUUGGACAAUGGGCGCAAGCCUGAUCCAGCAAUGCCGCGUGCAGGAUGAAGGCCUUCGGGUUGUAAACUGCUUUUGUACGGAGCGAAAAGGCUCUCUCUAAUACAGGGGGCUCAUGACGGUACCGUAAGAAUAAGCACCGGCUAACUACGUGCCAGCCGCCGCCGUAA
rnacentral:rRNA from 1 species